ACACCUUCAGCUGCACGAUUGUUAAUUCUCACCUACUGUACAGAUGUCUCAAAAAACAUUUCUAAUUUCCUUUUCUUGUUUUCUGUUUGAUCGGCUUGUCACUCAAAAUUUAAAUGAAAGCCUUCUAACUACCCCUAGCUCAAAUUAAUGACACCCCCUUUUCCUGUCAGUUGUCCUUUUACCUUUUUCACAUCUUGUAGCUAUUUUUGGCUGCUAGGACACACACACAGACAGAGGGUGGACUUUUGAUCUAGUAUUUAGUCCUCUUCCCCACAGUGGACACACCAUAAGAGCAUUUCUUAUAACCCAAGCAACUUCAAGUAAUUGAAAUAUGGAGGCUGAGGCACAUGCAGUUCUGCAAGGAGGUGCAGAAAUUACUGUUAAUAUGGCCGGGAUAGUGGAGAUGAUCGACACCUUUGAUCGGCCCGCUAAGGCAU